AACGCGAAGAACCUUACCUACCUUUGAAUCCACGGAAUCUUGCAGAGAUGUGAGAGUGCCUUCGGGAACCGUGAGACAGGUGCUGCAUGGCUGUCGUCAGCUCGUGUCGUGAGAUGUUGGGUUAAGUCCCGUAACGAGCGCAACCCUUAUCCUUAGUUACCAGCGAGUAAAGUCGGGGACUUUAAGGAGACUGCCGGUGAUAAACCGGAGGAAGGUGGGGAUGACGUCAAGUCCUCAUGGCCCUUACAGGUAGGGCUACACACGUGCUACAAUGGCCGGUACAAAGGGAAGCCAACCCGCGAGGGGGAGCUAACCUCAAAAAGCCGGUCGUAGUCCGGAUUGGAGUCUGCAACUCGACUCCAUGAAGUUGGAAUCGCUAGUAAUCGUGGAUCAGCACGCCACGGUGAAUACGUUCCCGGGCCUUGUA
rnacentral:rRNA from 1 species